rnacentral:rRNA from 1 species
GAGGAUGGGUGGUGANUCAUGAUAACUAGUCGAAUCGANNGGCCUUGNGCCGGCGAUGGCUCAUUCAAAUUUCUUCCCUAUCAACUUUCGAUGUUUGGGUAUUGGCCAAACAUGGUGGCAACGGGUAACGGAGGGUUAGGGCUCGACCCCGGAGAAGGAGCCUGAGAAACGGCUACUACAUCCAAGGAAGGCAGCAGGCGCGCAAAUUACCCAAUCCCGACACGGGGAGGUAGUGACAAUAAAUACUGAUACAGGGCUCUUUUGGGUCUUGUAAUNGGAAUGAGUACAAUUUAAAUCCCUUAACGAGGAACAAUUGGAGGGCAAGUCUGGUGCCAGCAGCCGCGGUAAUUCCAGCUCCAAUAGCGUAUAUUAAAGUUGUUGUGGUUAAAAAGCUCGUAGUUGAACCUUGGGCCUGGCUGGCCGGUCCGCCUCACCGCGUGCACUGGUCCGGCCGGGCCUUUCCCUCUGNGGAACCCCAUGCCCUUCACUGGGUGUGGCGGGGAAACAGGACUUUUACUNUGAAAAAAUUAGAGUGCUCAAGGCAGGCCUAUGCUCGAAUACAUUAGCAUGGAAUAAUAGAAUAGGACGUGUGGUUCUAUUUUGUUGGUUUCUAGGACCGCCGUAAUGAUUAAUAGGGACAGUCGGGGGCAUCAGUAUUCAAUUGUCAGAGGUGAAAUUCUUGGAUUUAUUGAAGACUAACUACUGCGAAAGCAUUUGCCAAGGAUGUUUUCAUUAAUCAGGAACA